rnacentral:misc_RNA from 1 species
GUUUCACCGGCCACAGGCCCAGCUUCUUCUUCCUGCGUCUUCAGUCAUCCAAAAACACUCCGUGACUUUCUUUUCUAUCUGGGUUGGGUUGGCUCUUCUCAAAACUCGGUACAAUUACAUGACGACCAUGGGUAGCUUAACAACGAGCUUAACAGCUCGAACGCUUACAAGUCCCAAUCAAUGCCCAGUAAGACAGCAUUUUCGACUAAAAUUUAGAAGAAGUAGCGUGUUUCUUAGACCCUUGUCCACGCGCAGAAGUUCAAGAAUCGUUUGCAUGGCGGAGCCUUAUUUGAUAACAAAGCUCGAAUCCGCAGAGAAGACGUGGAAAGAACUAUCGGUACGCUUUUAUUUGACAUCUAGGUUUUGUGGGAGUUCGAUUUCUCUAAGCAUUAAAAUUUUGCUAUACUUUUCUUUGUGCACAGUGGACAUGGAAUUCAAUGAAUAACUUCAUGAAUAGUUAAUUUUAGACUGCAAUGAAACCAAAUUUGGGUAGAACUAUUGUGGACAAUUGUUUUGUGGGUUUGACUAGUAAAGUGCUCGUAGUGGGGAAUAUUUGAGAAGGUGAAGAAAUAAUGUUUUUAAAUAAUGAGUCAUAUCCAAAUGAACAUAUGAUAUCAUCUGGUGUCAGGUUGUCAGCACCACUAGUUUAUUAGUAUACUUGAUGUAUUGAGUUUUAGCUUUCACAAGAUUCGUUGCAGGUCAAGCUGGCAGAUCCAGAUGUUGUCUCAAAUCCAAGCGAAUACCAAAAACUGGCACAAUACAUGGCAGAGCUUGAUGAAGUUGUGUCAAUUUAUAGGAGAUUCAAGGAUUGUGAGAAGCAGUUGGAAGAGACUAAAGCUUUAGCAAAAGAGGAAGGAAAUGAUGAAGAUAUGGCUGAGAUGAUAGCAUAUGAAAUUGACUCUUUAUCCAAUGAAAUUAAAGAGCUUGAGGAGAAGCUUAAGUACUGCUUUUCUUAUUCCAGUUCUGACAUCUUGGACCAGAAUUAGGUCUUCUGUUGAAUUAUUCAUUCAAUUUGCACCUCAACAUUAAGCUUUGUAGUUGCAAGGGAAUUGCCAUGCUUAACUCCUCAUUAUUGACAUUUUUUAUUUCUUUGAUAUGACUGUCUGUUUUUUACUUUUUGUUUAUCUUUUAUUUUCCAUUUGACAGGUACUACUGUUACCUAGUGAUCCUCUUGAUGCGAGAAAUAUAAUGCUUGAAGUAAGGGCAGGUACUGGUGGUGAUGAAGCUGGAAUAUGGGCUGGUGAUCUUGUAGGUCCGUAUGUAUCAGAAAUACAGCGAGCAAAACUCUUGGAAGUACUCUUUAGUUUCAAGUUCCGAGGCUGAAAAAGGUGGAUACAAAACCUAUGUGAUGGAGGUAAAAGGGAGUCGUGUUUACAGCAAAUUAAAAUAUGAAUCUGGUGUACAUCGAGUUCAGCGUGUUCCUCAAACAGAAACUCAGGGACGUGUGCAUACUUCUACUGCAACAGUAGCCAUCAUGCCUGAGGUAAUGUAUAUUUGACAGAUACACUACACAUAUCUUCACUACAUCAAGGAUCCAAAGGAUAUUCCUGUCACGUUGUGUCAUGUUGUUUUUGGGCAAAGCAUGAACUUAGAUGUUGCAUUGAGUUUUGUGUAUCCUUGAUUGUACAGAAGCCAAGUUAAUUUAACUCGGUUAUUACUUUCUGCAAAUGGUACUGUGAUAUCAAGCUCUGCAGAAUUUUUAAAUUUUUGAUGGGGAGUGAACAGUGGCCAUUUUAUACCUGAAAUGUUUGAGAGAUUGAUAUAGUUUUGGAAUUUCUAGUCUCAUGUUAAGGUCUUUUUGAACUGUAGUUCCUUUUGGCUGAAGAUGCUUGAUGUUGAUCCUGAUGAGAUGGUCAGGAUUUGGCUGAACUUGACAAAUCUGAUAUUAGCGCUUACUGUCUCAGUUGUCUUUUACAAUUGUUUGAUUGGUGCAUGACAGUUCUUAUGCUUUACUUUGGAUUUAGGCGGAUGAAGUUGAAGUGGUAAUUGAUCUAAAGAAUAUUCAACUUACAACAGGAAGGUCUGAAGGUGCUGGAGUUAUGAAACAGCUGGUGCUAGCUCAUAUUUGAAUGAAGGCAAAAUGUCAACGAGGUGGAAACAGCUGUUGAUCUUUUCCACAAACCAACAGGAAUUCGCAUCUUUUAUUCUGAAUAAAGGAUACAACUUCUGCAAGCAAAACUGUAAGUAUCAACUACUCUAAUCUAUUGUUCUUCUUAUUCUUCCAAUCUUGAUAAUUACAUGUCACAUAAUUUUUUUCUUCCCAUCACAAUAAUUUCUUUCUUGCUUCAUUUGUUGAACUUCUCUGUAAUAAUUUUUUGAAUGAGAGAAGUUACAUGUAAAUCAAUGCAUCUAUUUUCUACUUCCAUAUUCUCAUGCAAUUUUUUUCCUCAUUUUGCUACUGAUCCUUUUUAUCAGUUAUGUAUUAGUACACUAGGAUAUCUUAAAUUAUUCCUUUUCUUUUUUUAUUUUAAAUUGAUCAUAAGACAUGAACUUCUAGCAGGUGUGAGAUGAAAGUAAGUGAGCAGCAUUAGUCAAUAAGGAACCAAUGAAAAUUACAGGUAUAACUUUGAAGUUACAGAAGAUCCAUGAGAAGAUUAAACUAUUACAUGAGCAAAUAUCAUGGAUCUUUUUUUUCCUCUUCUUUGUUCUUUCCCUUCUCAUAUUCACUAUUCUCAUAUGGUCUAUCAAACAUGCUCUGAGUGUCAACAUUUUUUCCCCAUUCACUGGCCUCCGCACUUAAACUUAUUUAAUGGUUCAAACCCUGUCAUCUCUUCCCCUAGAAUAAAAAAUUUUUGAAGAGCUGAGAAAUACAACACAUACUGUUUAGAAAAAGAAGAAACAAGUGGUUGACAUGUCGAACUUUGAUUUUGGUGUAUUGUUACUGAAAUGAGGUUAGUCUAAAAAAACUGUGUCAUGGAAACACAUAAAUGUUCUUUAAUUAGGGCAAUAGGAUUACCGACCACCGGUUGAAGAUGAACCUUUGAGGUGAUAUAGAAAAUGCAGUGUAAGGAUUUAGUUUUAUGAAAUUUCUCUAAUUCGAAGAGUGCAGAUUACUGUUAACAUAAGUUUAUGUGUUGAGUUUAGAAUUGCCUUUACCAAAAUAGUUUAAACCAAUUUGGGCUGGGUCCCUUGUGCUAUCUUCUUUCAAUUUUUUUGUAAAUUGGCUUGUGGGACUCAAACAAUUCUCAUAAAGUAUUUUUCUUGUUUUUGAUAUGGUUAUCCUUUCUUAAUGCAGAAUUAAUUUUAAAUAGAGUUAAAUAGCUAAAAGUGAUUCAUAUAGCUGACUUUAAUUAAUUAAUUAAUUAAUU